rnacentral:ncRNA from 1 species
CCACAAGGGGAGCCGUUUUGGCUGAGAUAGGAUAUAUAUCCUGACCCUUCGAACCUGUAAGUUCAUACUUGCGUAGGGAUGUGGAU